UUCCACAGAAGAUUCUCCAGCCUGUCUGUGCUUUUUGGAAUUUCAGUGCCAAAUGCAGGGGGCUCCUGGGCCAUCACUGGCUGCUCAGUGCUCACUCUACACCCAGACUCUACCACCUGCCUCUGCAAGCACAGCACCAGCUUUGCCAUCCUGCUGCAGGUGCAUGACGUCCUGGUAUCGCCUGCCUCACAGGACAUCCCCCGGGGCUUGAGAGUGACUUCCAAUUCAGGGCUCUCUUAGGGAGACCCAGCAAGAGAGAGAUACAUUCAUUUAUUAAGCACCUACUGUGUGCAGGCCUAGUCCCUGGUGGUGGUACUAUUGCCAUCCUUGAUCCCCUAGGGAGACUUGCGGUCAGCAGGCAGGGGUUCCCGUGUCUGAACGGACCACAAUCCACAAGAUUUUCCCUGGCCUCUGCUGAGGCCUUCCUCAUGACCAGCGAGUGGGCAAAGAGCAACAAGGUGACCUGUGUGGUUGUCACAGCGGCCAUGCAUCUUCUCUUUCUGGUUGCCUUCUCCUGGAUGCUGGCAGAGGGACUGCUGCUUUGGAGCAAGGUGGUAGCCGUGAGCAUGCACCCAGGCCCCAGGAUGAGGCUGUACUAUACUGCAGGCUGGGGUGAGGACCCCUGAUCCCCACUCUUGUUCUUUCCGUUGCUCUCCAAUACUACCCCACACCAGUACCACCCAGACCCAUCCUUGGGCACAUUGGUAUCAUUCAGCAUCCAACAGCACCUAGGAACUACCUAAUACCUAGUACCCAGUACCACUGAACAUCCAGCACUCAAUACUACCCUAUACCUUUUUCACCCAGUACCACCUGAUACUUAUCUCUGAUGUGAUCUCAGUUUCCCCAGUUACAUGAGAUUCUAGUUGUACCCAGUCUGUUUUUCUUAAGUCCCUUCCACUCAGCAGCCUCAGUCUCCACCUCUUAGAUUGGCCCAGGGGACAGUUGUGGGCUGGAUCCAAGACAGCAAUGAGUGGUGGCAUGGCCUGAGUCUAUUUCCUCCUUCCCUAGGCAUUCCUGUGGCCAUUGUGGCCAUCACUCUAGCAUUGCACCCUCAUGACUAUGUGGCUUCUGGACACUGCUAGCUCAAUGUUCACACGGAUGCCAUCCUUUGUGGGGCCCGUUCUGUUUGUGUUGACUGGGAGCUGGGAGGUGUGGGUGCUACAAGGGAGGGGCAUGUUGGGAAGAGGUGAUUCCUCUUGCUCACUGGAGCUCAACCUCCAGGCAAAUACUUACAUCCUGGUCCAUGUUGUAAUGAUCACUCUAUCCAGCACCCACCGCCGUGCACGCAUGCUGAGCCCACAGCCUGACCUACAGCAGAAGAUCAAGUUCCAAAUGUGGUGAGGCUCAGCUAGGGGGGCAGGGUGAGAUUGGGGUACAGGGCCAGCUGGCACCUCACAUGAGCGUGGUGUAGUGUGAGCAUGUGAGUCUGUGUUGGGAUGUGUGGCCAAGUGUGAGCCUGUGUUAAGUAGUGAGUACACGUGUGACCUUGCUUACGAGACACCCAUGCUUGGGUAUGUCACGCUGUGUAAGACACUGGGGAUACCAGCCACUGCCCUGGGGCCUCACUAUCUGCAGAAGGUGCUGAGGGUCUGCCUGAGACAAGACAGGAGGAGUCCUCAAGUCAGGCCAUCCCCAGUUCAGGAUCAGAGUAAGGAUUCAGGUCUCUAGCUCUACCAAAGACCCUUCCCAUCCCCAGCACCAUGACUACUGGAGCACAAUGCUGUGACCUUCUUCCUAUAGCCCGGCCUUCUCUGUGGCCUUCCUCACUUGACCAGUCUCUGCUGCAGCAGAACCACUCAAACCAGCAAGUGCCUG
rnacentral:lncRNA from 1 species